rnacentral:rRNA from 1 species
UAGUCCCCAGGCGGAGCACUUAAUGCGUUAGCGUCGGCACCGCGGGGGUCAAUACCCACGACACCUAGUGCUCAUCGUUUACAGCGUGGACUACCAGGGUAUCUAAUCCUGUUUGCUCCCCACGCUUUCGCGUCUCAGCGUCAGUCACCGUCCAGAAGGCCGCCUUCGCCACCGGUAUUCCUCCUGAUAUCUACGCAUUUCACCGCUACACCAGGAAUUCCACCUUCCUCUCCGGGACUCGAGUCCGCCAGUUUCCAAUGCCCUUCCGGGGGUGAGCCCCGGGCUUUCACAUCAGACUUAGCGGACCGCCUACACGCCCUUUACGCCCAGUGAUUCCGAACAACGCUCGCACCCUCCGUAUUACCGCGGCUGCUGGCACGGAGUUAGCCGGUGCUUCCUUUAGGGGUACCGUCAGGGACUCGACGUGUUAGGUCGAGACCGUUUCGUUCCCCUCGACAGGGCUUUACGACCCGAAGGCCUUCAUCACCCACGCGGCGUCGCUGCGUCAGGCUUUCGCCCAUU